GCUCAGGACGAACGCUGGCGGCGUGCCUAAUACAUGCAAGUCGAGCGAAUCGAUGGGAGCUUGCUCCCUGAGAUUAGCGGCGGACGGGUGAGUAACACGUGGGCAACCUGCCUAUAAGACUGGGAUAACUUCGGGAAACCGGAGCUAAUACCGGAUACGUUCUUUUCUCGCAUGAGAGAAGAUGGAAAGACGGUUUACGCUGUCACUUAUAGAUGGGCCCGCGGCGCAUUAGCUAGUUGGUGAGGUAAUGGCUCACCAAGGCGACGAUGCGUAGCCGACCUGAGAGGGUGAUCGGCCACACUGGGACUGAGACACGGCCCAGACUCCUACGGGAGGCAGCAGUAGGGAAUCUUCCGCAAUGGACGAAAGUCUGACGGAGCAACGCCGCGUGAACGAAGAAGGCCUUCGGGUCGUAAAGUUCUGUUGUUAGGGAAGAACAAGUACCAGAGAACUGCUGGACCUGACGGA
rnacentral:rRNA from 1 species